rnacentral:lncRNA from 1 species
GUGCGAUGUCAGUCUGAAAGUCCGAAGCCUGAAGACUGGUAUCUCUAUUUAUUCAAUAGAAAAGAUAUUAGUUGAAAAGAAAAAAAAAUUUUGGGUUGCCUCCUAGAAGUGCUAAGUUUAAUAUCUUCAGCCAGACAAAAUAUUUUAAGCAAUUUAAUCAUGAUAAAUUGGCUCAUAGAGAACCAUGGCUUCGUCAAUAGAUUCUUUGGGUAGUUCC